AUUUUUUUUACUUUAUUUCCUUCACUUCAUUUCCUUUUUUUCCUUGUAUAAGUGAAAUAUAUCCUCUUUUACAACUUGAAAAACAUGGAGAUAUGUAUUACAUGAUAGCACAUAUAUAACAUAUCAUAUUAUCUGCAAUAUUGGGGAUGGAGGAGUAGAGAGAAGGAGGGAAAGAAUAUUGUAAUAAAAUGGAUAAUCUGAGUGGAACUAAUUCUGGUCCUUGUGAAUGGAUAUACUCUGGCUGACUAGAGAGAUGCUAAGGGGAACCUUCAGGAUGCCUAUUUGUUAUGGAGAUAGAAGUACUUCUGAGACAUGGAGAGAUAGAGAGAUGCUGCUAGAGGGGUUGUUCUGGGCUGCCUAUUGAUCCCUAUUAAUGGCUAAUAAAUCAAACUAUUUCCUACUGUCUACCCUUCACCUCCCAGUUUUCCACCCAAAGCUCUCUUGCCACCCUUUCCCUUCCCCCGGUCUUAGUCAGUUACCUUUCUAUAUAACUUAAAGGUGAACUGUGAGAUUUAGAGAAGAUACUCUUGUUCUCUUUCUCAGGUAAGGAGGUUUAUUGGGAAAGAUAAGACAGGAUGGAAAUUGAAGUGAGAGGAAUGAGGGGGUCCCUAAUCUCUAAGGAGAAUUAGGAGGGCUUGGGAAAUGUCAGUCUAGUUACAACUGUGACUCAGAGAGUGUCAGAGAUAUGGAGGACAGUUGUUAAAUCUUCCUUCUUCAGUCAGAUAAUCUCUGCUUGAAUAAUUCAAGUCCAGACUCUGUCAAAAACCACAAAGGUCUCUCUCUCUCUCUCUGUCUAGGUCAGGAAAAGCCAGUCUCUCUUGGUCAGGAACUCCAGAGAAGAGGUUUUUCCCUUGGUCAGUAACCCCCAGAGAAGAAAUCUCAAUUCAUCUCCCCUGGCCAGCUCCAACUGACUCUUCUGGGAACAUUCCAUUUGGAAUCUUCACUUUGAUUGACAGAUCAGGUCCCCAGCUUUGUUUCUUGCAUGCUUGGCUUGGCUUGGUGAAAUACAAAGUAGGAGAUACAAAUCAAGGAGUAUCUACGAUGUCUCUUCAGACAAAGAUCAAAGAACUGGACAAGGUAUUAUUUCUGCACCUUAUACCAGGUGCUUUCCAUCUCAUUCUAUUCAUCCUUUUUCCUACUUUGCCCUUUGAAAGGGCACAGCUGGAGGGAGUCAGGUAAUAGCUGACAGUCUUGAUGAGCACACAGGUGCACUCCACAAUGUCUGCUUUAAGUGGCACUGCCUGAUAUUCUGGACAUUUUUGUUUACAAUAAUGGUAUAUUAAAGGUAAAACAUGUAAUACUGAUAUGAGAAGCAAAGUCUAUUUUUAAUAAGAUGGUUCUAAAAAUAUUACAUGCCAUAGCGCAAUUGUUAGAUAUGAUAUAGGCUUGUGUAGUGUCAGUUUGGAUGAAGUAAAAGAAUUAGAAUCAGGAGAAUCUGAGUUCAAAUCCCA
rnacentral:lncRNA from 1 species